rnacentral:rRNA from 1 species
GUGGGGAAUAUUGGACAAUGGGCGAAAGCCUGAUCCAGCCAUGCCGCGUGAGUGAUGAAGGCCUUAGGGUUGUAAAGCUCUUUUGUCCGGGAAGAUAAUGACUGUACCGGAAGAAUAAGCCCCGGCUAACUUCGUGCCAGCAGCCGCGGUAAUACGAAGGGGGCUAGCGUUGCUCGGAAUCACUGGGCGUAAAGGGCGCGUAGGCGGACUUUUAAGUCGGAGGUGAAAGCCCAGGGCUCAACCCUGGAAUUGCCUUCGAUACUGGGAGUCUUGAGUUCGGAAGAGGUUGGUGGAACUGCGAGUGUAGAGGUGAAAUUCGUAGAUAUUCGCAAGAACACCGGUGGCGAAGGCGACCAACUGGUCCGAAACUGACGCUGAGGCGCGAAAGCGUGGGGAGCAAACAGGAUUAGAUACCCCGGUAGUCC